UACGUAGGGGGCGAGCGUUAUCCGGAAUUACUGGGCGUAAAGAGUACGUAGGUGGCGCGGUAAGCGAGUGGUGAAAGCCCGGGGCUUAACUCCGGCGAGCCAUUCGAACUGUCGUGCUUGAGUGCUGGAGGGGAAAGUGGAAUUCCUAGUGUAGCGGUGAAAUGCGUAGAUAUUAGGAGGAACACCGGUGGCGAAGGCGACUUUCUGGACAGUAACUGACACUGAGGUACGAAAGCGUGGGGAGC
rnacentral:rRNA from 1 species